rnacentral:rRNA from 1 species
GGGAGGCAGCAGUGGGGAAUAUUGGACAAUGGGCGCAAGCCUGAUCCAGCCAUACCGCGUGGGUGAAGAAGGCCUUCGGGUUGUAAAGCCCUUUUGUUGGGAAAGAAAUCCAGCUGGUUAAUACCCGGUUGGGAUGACGGUACCCAAAGAAUAAGCACCGGCUAACUUCGUGCCAGCAGCCGCGGUAAUACGAAGGGUGCAAGCGUUACUCGGAAUUACUGGGCGUAAAGCGUGCGUAGGUGGUCGUUUAAGUCCGUUGUGAAAGCCCUGGGCUCAACCUGGGAACUGCAGUGGAUACUGGACGACUAGAGUGUGGUAGAGGGUAGCGGAAUUCCUGGUGUAGCAGUGAAAUGCGUAGAGAUCAGGAGGAACAUCCAUGGCGAAGGCAGCUACCUGGACCAACACUGACACUGAGGCACGAAAGCGUGGGGAGCAAACAGGAUUAGAUACCCUGGUAGUCCACGCCCUAAACGAUGCGAACUGGAUGUUGGGUGCAAUUUGGCACGCAGUAUCGAAGCUAACGCG